GACCCCUCCCCCGCACCGACGUGAUUCGGAUCGCGCGGUGCUGGCGCCGCCUUCAUGCGCCCUGCCUGGCCCCCACCUGGUCCUCUUUCCUUUUCAGGUGGAGGAGAUGCCUCUGUCCCGUCGGUCUGGGGACAGCCCAGCUCCCCGGAUCCCGGGCUGGAGAGACGCGUCGCGGCCCCGGGGCCUGGUGGCACGAGCAGGAAGGAGGACCCGGCGGCGGGCUCUGCCUGGGCUUGCCUGGGCUUGUUCCGAGCCGGGCUGCUUCUCGGUGACCACGCAGAUCGGGGGCAUUUGGAGAUUUUGCGGGAGUCCUGCAGCCAAGCUCCGGGGCAGGAGAGGCCUGGAAGCCUGCACUACCUGCUCGCCCCGUCCCAGCAUGCACCCAGGUGCUGGGGAGAGGCAGGACAGGCCUGUCCCCCGAGUCCCCUCCGGAUGCCGUGGACCGGCCAGCUGUGAGUGUUUCUUUGGCAGUGUCUUAGCUGGUUGUUGUGAGCAAUAGUAAGGAAGCAAUCAGCAAGUAUACUGCCCUAGAAGUGCUGCACGUUGUGGGGCCCAAGAGGGAAGAUGAAGCGAGAGAUGCCCAGACCAGUGGGAGACGCCAGGACUUCGGAAGCUCUUCUGCGCCACGGUGGGUGGUGAGGGCGGCUGGGAAAGUGAGCUCCAGGGCCCCAGGAGCAGCCUGCUCGUGGGUGCGGAAGGAAAAAGGCACAGGGGCUUGGUGUGGGCGGCUUUUGGCUGGGAGAAGUUUGCACGUAGGGAGAAUAGUAGCCAGUGUUUGCAGAGCACUUACUAUGCAGGAAGGCCUGUCCUAAGUAUUCUAAGUGUAUUACAUCAUGAACAAGUGUCUGUGAUUAACCCCGUCUUGCAGAGAAGGAAACAGAAGUACAAACAGAAAAUGUAACUAAGCAUGCAAUUAAUAAAAAGGGACCAGGUUUUGAACGCAAGCAAUCUGGCUCAAGAAUCUGCGCCCAACCACCGGCUCCUGUUCUUAGAGAUGAACGUGGAGUCCUGGAGACUGCUCAACAUUGUGACUUGAUCGUGAGCAUACGCGCUCCCUGUCCCCAGGAGACAGAUUUCCAGUGCAAUCAUAGAAAGUGCCUGUGUGGGCUUCGGGAGAUGUGUCUGCCUUGGGGAGAAUUUUCCUUUUCAGCUACAGCCAGGCCCAGGAUAUUGACGUCAAUGAGACGCUGGUGACGUUCUCUGCUCCAGUGGCUGAUGAGAAAAGUUCCUCCAAGCCAGCUCAGUUGAGAAGAAUUAAGUUCUCUGGGUCCCACUGGCUUCACCUACAGAUGCCAACUUUGAGGCCAGUGAACUGUGAGGCCAGCUGGGCUGAUUGCCAUGGCAACAGGAAUUGGACCCAAGUCACCGGAGGAUGGAGAGGGAAGACACAGUGGUGGCUUCCCCAGGUCUUGGACCACAAGGCACAGCCGUGGCCUCCAGGAACCCUGAGAUAACCCGUUAGUGGGUCCUGCACUCCAACAGAGCUCGUGCAAUCAGCCUCUGGUCUUCACCCUCCUCCCAUUGGUGUCGUUGUGCUCUCUGACAUUGACAUUGAGCAGUGAGUGCUCCAGAUCUCGUUCCACUGAUUUUUUCCACUGUUCUCCAGUCUAGCACUUUCUGAAAUUCAUCCAAGCCUAAGAGGUGACACCAAAUGUCAGUGUCUUAUACCUCGGACCCCAUGGACUAAGACAAGCCUCUGGGGUCCAUGUGGCACCAAGGAUGGGGCCUUCUAGUACCUUUCACACAGGCCAGGGACAGCACCUGCUGUGACCCCCACCCCCAGCCUCUGCUGCUUCUCCCGUUGCCCUUCCAGCCACUGCCCUGGGCACCUCCCCUGCUCCCGCCUCCCUGCCUGGGCCCAUCUUUCUUUCCACCUCACCAAUUGCGGGGCUUCCUAGUGCUGGAGGGGAAGGGAGCCUGCUUCCAUUCUCACCACUCUGAAAGAAGACCCUGCAGAGAGGUUUUCUGGAAUUUGGAGCCUAACCUUGGCCUUGACACAGUCCAGAUGAGAAGGCCGUCCCCCAGUUAAGCCAGCCCUCCCUCCCUCUCAAUGCUGGAGAGGAAACCAGGCAGCUGGUUGCUUCAGCAAACCCCCUCCCUAUGGGAAUUGUCCUUUUCUUCCUCAAAUAGACUGGAGUGCAGAGGACUUGCUUCAGAGAGAGCCCCUUUGUAACGCACAUUGCACGGGCCGUGCCCCAUGCCCACUCUGCCACAAACUCCCCUCAGCUGCCCAGCCCCGUGGAGCCAGGCGUGGGCUGAAGUGGGGCCAAUGAAAUGCCUGGAAUGCCAGCCACAGUGACAGGCCAGCACUCAGAUGCCUCUCGGGAGUUCUGACCGAAGCAGCACUGAGGACCGCUUCAGAGCAGAAGUCUACGCCAUUUUCCCCAGUUUUAGGCAGAAGUAAAGAAUGUCUCUACCUUUUCCCAACCAACAAUUGAUUCAGAGUCCUGAGCUUUUAAAUUAAAGGGACCCCUCUGUUGCUUUAUGCAGUAGCCAGCUUAUUCAUUUGAGUUCAGGUGAAAUCAUUUUCAAGUAACCUCUUCCUAUCCAGCUUUACUUUUAGUGAUGCUGACAUAAAAACAAUAAAAAUUGUCCUCCUCAGAGUUCACCUGUAAAAGUUCCUGGAUAAUUAGUAAGGAAACAGAAAGAGCAGACAGUUGUUGCUUCAGAUAAAAGUGAUGUCUGGGUUGGGCACAGUGGGGCAUGCCUGUAAUCCCAGCACUUGGGGAGGCCCAGGUGGAUGGAUCGCUUGAGCUCAGGAGUUUCAGACCAGCCUGGGCAACAUCUCUACAAAAAAUACAAAAAUUAGCCAGGCAUAGUGGCAGGACUGUAGUCCCAGCUACUCAGGAGGCUGAGGUCAGGGGAUGGCUUGAGCCCAGGGGGCACAGAUUGAAGUGAGCUGAGAUUGCGCCACUGUAUUCCAGCCUAGGUGACAGAGCCAGACCUUGUCUCAAAAAAAAAAAAAAAAAAAAAAAAAAGUAAUGUCUUUGUGGUCAUUUAAUUUACUUCUGCAUUCUUUUUUUUUUUUUGAAAUGGGUAGUGGUUCCAUCUCGGCUCACUGCAACCUCUGCCUUGGGGGUUCAAGUGAUUCUCCUGCCUCAGCCUCCCGAGUAGCUGGGAUUACAGGCACCCGCCACCAUGCCCAGCUAAUUUUUGUAUUUUUAGUAGAGACGGGGCUUUGCCAUGUUGACCAGGCUGGACUCAAACUCCUGACCUCAGGUGAUCCGCCCACCUCGGCCUCCCAAAGCACUGGGAUUACAGGAAUGAGCCACUGCACUCGGCCUACUUCUGCAUUCCUUAGAGUACAUCCUAGCUAGGAUAUAUUCAGUUGUCUUUAGAGCUAACAGCAGAAGAAAGGUACUUAGAUGCUUAACUAGCUCUUUAUCUUUCUAGAAAUUCUAGAAGAUGAGAGGGGCAGUGGUGGCUCCAAGGGAGUGAUUUUAGGAUGGACUGGGACAGAGAGGGGCUGCUUACACAUACUCACACAGAGGCCAUUAAUUUAGGGAGUUCAAGGUCCAGGAGGUUGACGGCAUCUAGGCCUGUGGCAGAGUGCACUCCUGCUUUGGGGAAUGUAUGGGCAGAUUCUUGCCUGUAGUCGGAGGGUUAGAGAGAGGGAUCAAUAAUUUCAUGGUUGGACUUGAGUUUGGAAGCGAGUGGAGUUAGACACAAAUUCUGUGUUUUUGGAGAAAGUAUUUGAUCUUCUUGGCUGUGAGGCAAAGCGAGGUUUAAAAAUAUUUUUCACUUAAAAAAAUAUAUAUAUGCAUGUAUAUUUAAUACUGUCUAUGGAUUGUGCCAAUAUCUAUUUCAUGGUUUUGAUGUUGUGUAGUUAUACAAGGAGUUACCACUGAACGAAACUGGGGGAAGGGUACACAGAAUCUCUGUACUUUUUUUGUUGUUGUUGCAAUUUCCUGUAAAUCUAUGAUUAUUUUAAAAUAAAAAAGUUAAAGCAUACGUAUUUACAUUUGAUUAAAUGCAGUGUGAUAUCCUGGGUUGGAUUUUGGAACAAAACAAGGCAUGAGUGAAAAAACUGGUAAAAUCCAAAAAAGCCUUUAGUUAAAAGUAAUACCAGUGUUAAUUUCUUAGUUUUGACAAAUGUGCCAUGGCUGUGUAAGAUGCAAAUGUUAGAGGAAACUGGGCGAAGAAUUUGAGGGAACUCUCUGUACUAUUCUUUGCAGCUUUUCUGUAAAUCUACAAUUAUUCCAAAAUAAAAGUCUAUUAAAAAUGUAA
rnacentral:lncRNA from 1 species